UGUCCAGGGGCGGGAAUCGAACCCACGACCUUCCGCUUACCGGGCAGAUGCCAUGUCCACUAGGCUACCCUGUAC
rnacentral:tRNA from 1 species